CCUGGUGGCUCAAACAGUAAAGAAUCUGCCUGCAAUGCAGGAGACCCAGGUUCAAUCCCUGGGUCAGGA
rfam:TPA: Bos taurus chromosome 4, whole genome shotgun sequence.